rnacentral:rRNA from 1 species
ACCGUGCWAAGGUAGCGUGAUAAGUUGCCCUUUAAUUGGGGGCUUGAAUGAACGGACACACGAGAGUUUAGCUGUCUCUUUUAUAGCUAUAGAAAUUAAUCCUCAGGUGAAAAAACCUGAAUAAACUCAAAGGACAAAAAGACCCCAUAGAGCUUUGUUUUACUUUAUUACUUUAAACCCUUAUUAAAUAAGAUUAAUUUUAAUGUAAUUUAAAAACUUAACUGGGGCGGUUGAAGAAAACACAAACUUCUUUUUAAGCAUUUUUUACACAUAUCGGUUUUACAAACCUUUCAAUAGUAUUGAUCCAAAUUUUUGGUAAAUUUUCUAUUUAAUAAUAUAACUAUAAAUUAAAAUUUAUACAAAACAAUUUUCUUAUUAUAUCAAAUUUUUAGAAUCUACUAUAUUAUUGAUCAAAGGAAAAGCUACCUUGGGGGUAACAGAUUUAUCCUUCUUAAGAGUUCACAUUGACAGAAGGGUUUGACACCUCGAUGUUGGCUUAGGGAACCCAAAGGGUCAGCASAAGCCCUUAAUGGCAGGUUUGUUCAACCUUAAAAUCCCUACAUGAUCUGAG